rnacentral:rRNA from 1 species
UACGGAGGAUGCGAGCGUUAUCCGGAUUUAUUGGGUUUAAAGGGUGCGUAGGCGGACGCUUAAGUCAGCGGUAAAAUUGCGGGGCUCAACCUCGUCGAGCCGUUGAAACUGGGUGCCUUGAGUGGCGAGAAGUACGCGGAAUGCGUGGUGUAGCGGUGAAAUGCAUAGAUAUCACGCAGAACUCCGAUUGCGAAGGCAGCGUACCGGCGCCCAACUGACGCUGAAGCACGAAGGCGUGGGUAUCGAACAGG